CGGCUGAAUUUCUGCUUCGUGAUGAUGGUGUGCAGGAGCUCAAGAACCUGCGGCCGCAGCUCUACUCCGCCUCCGAGUACUGCGAGAAGUCCUACCUCAACAGCGAGCAGAAGCAGAUGUGAGUCGCGUUCCUGCUCCUGCAUAUUUCAUUGCCAACAAGGGUGAAGGAAUUACCACGCACUUCUUACCACAGCGGCCAGGCAUGGUUGCUCCUCGUACAAUUGCAUCUUGCAUGUUGUAUGUAGCGCUAUUUUGUCAUUUCGCCUAAUGGUUGAAGAAUUCAAUCGAAGUGUGGGUGCCGCAUGUGCUGGUAGCAACUACCCAACUACGUAUGAUAGGUGUAGAGGACUGAGCCAACUAAGGCAAGGACGGCAACAGGUGUGAGCAAGGGACUUGAUAUUGAGAUGUGGCUAGAGAACAAAACUCUACUGGCUAGAGAAGGAUAUGAUUUUUUGUUAUCAUCUGGGAUUUUGGUGUUACCUGACAACUGUCUUUGUACUGUUCCUAGUCUGAAUUUUGUCACUGCAUUGAAAUUUUAGCAGCAGGGACCCACUCUUAUUUCACGGCGUCAGAAUAAAUUUCAGAAAUACAGG
rnacentral:lncRNA from 1 species